rnacentral:rRNA from 1 species
AGCGAACGCUAGCGGCGGGUUUAACACAUGCAAGUCGAGCGCAUACCUUCGGGUAUGAGCGGCGGACGGGUGAGUAACGCGUAGGUCAUCUACCCUUUGGUGGGGGAUAACCCAGGGAAACUUGGGCUAAUACCGCACGAGGUCCACGGAUCAAAGCCUUCGGGCGCCAGAGGAUGAGCCUGCGUCGCAUUACCUAGUUGGCGGGGUAACGGCCCACCAAGGGGACGAUGCGUAGCUGGUCUGAGAGGAUGAUCAGCCACACUGGGACUGAGACACGGCCCAGACUCCUACGGGAGGCAGCAGUGGGGAAUAUUGCGCAAUGGGGGAAACCCUGACGCAGCCACGCCGCGUGGGUGAUGAAGGCCUUCGGGUUGUAAAGCCCUGUCGGGAGGGACGAAUUCUUGACGGUACCUCCAAAGAAAGCACCGGCUAACUCCGUGCCAGCAGCCGCGGUAAU